CAUAAAAGUGGAGGCUAUUGUAACUGAAGAGAACUGGAAAGUUCCACCGUAGAAGGUAAUAGUCCUGUAAGUGAAACGAGAAGACCACGAGUUAUGAUCCAGAGUACCACGAGACACGUGAAACCUUGUGGGAAGCAGGGAGGACCACCUCCCAAGGCUAAAUACUACCUGAUGACCGAUAGUGAAGCAGUACCGUGAGGGAAAGGUGAAAAGAACCCCGGGAGGGGAGUGAAAUAGAACCUGAAACCGUGUGCCUACAACCGCUCAGAGCCCCUUAUGAGGGUGAUGAGGUGCUUUUUGUAGAACGAGCCAACGAGUUACGGUAUGUAGCAAGGUUAAGUACUUAAGGUACGGAGCCGAAGGGAAACCGAGUCUGAAUAGGGCGACUAGUUGCAUGCCGUAGACCCGAAACCGGGUGACCUAUCCAUGGCCAGGUUGAAGCGAGGGUAAAACCUCGUGGAGGACCGAACCACGUUGCUGUUGAAAAAGCAUGGGAUGAGCUGUGGAUAGCGGAGAAAUUCCAAUCGAACCCGGAGAUAGCUGGUUCUCUCCGAAAUAGCUUUAGGGCUAGCGUCGAGUAUGAGUAGUGGAGGUAGAGCACUGAAUGGGCUAGGGGGCAUAGCGCUUACCGAACCUUAUCAAACUCCGAAUGCCACAUACUUUGAGCUCGGCAGUCAGACUACGAAUGAUAAGAUCCGUGGUCAAAAGGGAAACAGCCCAGAUCGUCAGCUAAGGUCCCAAAGUGUAAGUUAAGUGGGAAAGGAUGUGAGAUUUCUAAGACAACUAGGAUGUUGGCUUAGAAGCAGCCAUUCAUUAAAAGAGUGCGUAAUAGCUCACUAGUCGAGAGAUCUUGCGCCGAAAAUGUAACGGGGCUAAACUUACC
rnacentral:rRNA from 1 species